AUGCUCUGGUUUCUUUUCAGAACAAAUAAAUCUUUGCCCUUUUGCUAAAGAUUUCCAUGGAGAGGAACAAUUAUGAAUUGAUAAUCAAAUUUUUGCGGUCUUACUUAGGCAGGGCC
rnacentral:snRNA from 1 species